ensembl:lncRNA
GGGGGACUAUGGGGUAUAUGGGGGGAUAUGGGGCAGAAAUGAGGGGCUAUGGGGCAGAUAUGGGGGCUAUGGGGCAGGGAAUGGGGGUUAUGGGGCGGAUAUGGGGGGAUAUGGGGCGGAUAUGGGGGUAUAUGGGGGGCUAUGGGGCGGAUAUGGGGGCUAUGGGGCAGGGAAUGAGGGUUAUGGGGCGGAUAUGGGGGCAUAUGGGGGCUAUGGGACAGAUAUGGGGGCUAUGGGGCAGAAAUUAGGGGUUAUGGGGUGGAUAUGGGGGGAUAUGGGGCAGGGAAUGGGGGUUAUGGGGCGGAUAUGGGGGGCUAUGGGGCGGAUAUGGG